UACGGAGGAUCCAAGCGUUAUCCGGAAUCAUUGGGUUUAAAGGGUCCGUAGGCGGUUUAAUAAGUCAGUGGUGAAAGCCCAUCGCUCAACGGUGGAACGGCCAUUGAUACUGUUAAACUUGAAUUAUUAGGAAGUAACUAGAAUAUGUAGUGUAGCGGUGAAAUGCUUAGAGAUUACAUGGAAUACCGAUUGCGAAGGCAGGUUACUACUAAUGGAUUGACGCUGAUGGACGAAAGCGUGGGUAG
rnacentral:rRNA from 1 species